ACGGAAGGCAGCAGUGGGGAAUAUUGCACAAUGGGCGAAAGCCUGAUGCAGCGACGCCGCGUGAGUGAAGAAGUAUCUCGGUAUGUAAGCUCUAUCAGCAGGGAAGAAAAUGACGGUACCUGACUAAGAAGCCCCGGCUAACUACGUGCCAGCAGCCGCGGUAAUACGUAGGGGGCAAGCGUUAUCCGGAUUUACUGGGUGUAAAGGGAGCGUAGACGGUUUGGCAAGUCUGAAGUGAAAUGCGGGGGCUCAACUCCUGAACUGCUUUGGAAACUGUCGAACUAGAGUGCAGGAGAGGUAAGUGGAAUUCCUAGUGUAGCGGUGAAAUGCGUAGAUAUUAGGAGGAACACCAGUGGCGAAGGCGGCUUACUGGACUGUAACUGACGUUGAGGCUCGAAAGCGUGGGGAGCAAACAGGAUUAGAUACCCUGGUA
rnacentral:rRNA from 1 species